GGUUAUCUCCAGAGUCAGAGGAACCUGGGAUGGAGGAAGCCUAGUCUAAACUUAACGUAAUACCUCAGAACAUUUCCUGAAUGUUUCUCAACCUUUUUGCUGCCAUGGCACACAUAUCAAGUAUCAUAUAGACCAGGGGUAUUUGCUCAAAUCUAAGCCUUGUCAACCAGGGAAUGUGACUAAUUGUAACGUGUCUUCUUGUCUUAAAAGGACAAUACUGGUCUGUGGAGAUCCAUACAAACAUAGUAGACGUGUAAGACUCACCUUUACCUUUUUUAGUUGGUUUGGAUUUCUGAGCAGGGCUAGGCCCAGCUAAAGAGAGACCAGCGAAAUUUGAGGUUAUGGGAACAUCAAUUGACCUUUCCAGUUUGUCCCCGCCAAAAGUGAACGCCAUUCUGAAAAAACAAAAACAAAUACGAUUAGGCCUAUUCCAGAUUGGAUGACACACGUUGAUUUACAACCUUUCAGUUAGUUGUCCGUUAGUUGUCCCGUCAGUUAGUAGGCUACAAGGCCUACUCCAGCUUCAUUCCCUGCUGACGCGUUAUGGCGUCCAGGCAUCCAGAAACCCAACUGUCUUCCAAAAAACUUCUGCCCUACAAUGCUGUAUUUAGCGUUGCAAUAACAUAACAUAACAUAAUAUAACAUAAACAUGUUAUGCAGCAAACAAUCAAGAGAAUACUACAAAAGGCAUAUUGAUGAGAGGUAGAAGAUUAAUAGUGUAUUCCUGACCUAUACCUGUUGUCUGAGCGUCUACCAACGUAGGCUUAUGUUCUGAAUGACAGUUGCUGUGAAUCCUCGCUGCACCUUCCUGGGAAAUGAAAGUGUCGAUUCGGUACUUUCACUUUCACUGAGUUGCGUUGAUUGCCACAAAAACGAUACUGUAUCUUCCAAAGAAAAAUGUAGAUCGAUUGAAGUUGGUUCUGAGCAUAAUAAAUAAUCAAUAAACUGUACUUUGACAGCCAUA